CAGUCUGCAACUCGACUGCGUGAAGCUGGAAUCGCUAGUAAUCGGAUAUCAGCCAUGAUCCGGUGAAUACGUUCCCGGGCCUUGUACACACCGCCCGUCAAACCAUGGAAGCUGGGGGUGCCUGAAGUCUGUGACCGCAAGGAGCAGCCUAGGGUAAAACUAGUGACUGGGGUUAAGUCGUAACAAGGUAGCCGUACCGGAAGGUGCGGCUGGAACACCUCCUUUCUAGAGUUUUAUUAGUUUUAUUCUAAUCAAAACAGAAAGCAACGACUAAAUUUGACUAAUUAUAAUUAGUUUCUGUUCACAUGCUGUCAUUUUUUAUAACACUAGCAAGAUUAGAUAAAUUAGAGUCUCGUAGCUCAGCUGGUUAGAGCGCUACACUGAUAAUGUAGAGGUCGGCAGUUCGAGCCUGCCCGAGACUACACAUUAGAAACCAUUUGUUACUUAACUUUUUAUUUAAUUCAAUUGCUAUGGAAAUUCUAGGUGUUGGGAUUCCAAAAUGAAAGGGUCUCAUUUAUUGGGUCUCUUAUUACUUACGGGGGAUUAGCUCAGCUGGCUAGAGCGCUUGAUUUGCAUUCAAGAGGUCAUCGGUUCGACUCCGAUAUUCUCCACAAUUCUAUAGAAUAAUUCAAAGAAAGAAAAGAGAUCGUUAUCCAAACACUUAUCUCUUUACUUGUUUUGUUCUAUUCGUUUGACUAGAAAAACGUUCACUGACAUUUUGAAAAGAUACAAAAAGUAUCAACCAAUUUUUUUACAAUAAAAAAAGAGGUUUAUACGAGCAAAUAUUAAAUAUUGAAAUUUUUUUAGAUACAAUUUUUUAGAGAAAGAGUAAAAGUUACAAUAGGCUAAUUAAGAGCAUAUGGGGAAUGCCUAGGCUCUCAGAGGCGAUGAAGGACGUGAUAAGCUGCGAUAAGCUGCGGGGAUCAGC
rnacentral:misc_RNA from 1 species